GGUACGUGUCCUUAAUAUAAAAUGCAGUGUUUAGCUAACACAAGAAGCAUGAGGUUGAAAAGCGGAUGCAAUUUCCGACACGUACC
rnacentral:ncRNA from 1 species